GACGAACGCUGGCGGCGCGCUUAACACAUGCAAGUCGAGCGAGAACCCAGGCUUCGGCCUGGGGGAAAGCGGCGAACGGGUGAGUAACACGUGGGUAAUCUGCCCUCGGCAUCGGGAUAGCCCGGGGAAACCCGGAUUAAUACCGGAUGGCCCGACAGCUCUUCGGACCGGUCGGAAAAGGUAGCUUCGGCCUCCGGCCGAGGAGGCGCCCGCGGCGGAUUAGCUUGUUGGUGAGGUAACGGCUCACCAAGGCUCCGAUCCGUAGCUGGUCUGAGAGGACGAUCAGCCACACUGGGACUGAGACACGGCCCAGACUCCUACGGGAGGCAGCAGUGGGGAAUCUUGCGCAAUGGGCGAAAGCCUGACGCAGCGACGCCGCGUGAGGGAAGAAGGCCUUCGGGUUGUAAACCUCUUUCAGGAGGGACGAAGCCACUCGGGUUAAUAGCCCAGAGGGUGACGGUACCUCCAGAAGUAGCUCCGGCUAACUACGUGCCAGCCGCCGCGGUAACAC
rnacentral:rRNA from 1 species